rnacentral:rRNA from 1 species
UGGGGAAUUUUGGACAAUGGGCGCAAGCCUGAUCCAGCCAUGCCGCGUGAGUGAAGAAGGCCUUCGGGUUGUAAAGCUCUUUCGGCGGGGAAGAAAUCGCAUUCUCUAAUACAGGAUGUGGAUGACGGUACCCGAAUAAGAAGCACCGGCUAACUACGUGCCAGCAGCCGCGGUAAUACGUAGGGUGCGAGCGUUAAUCGGAAUUACUGGGCGUAAAGCGUGCGCGGGCGGUUUCGUAAGACAGACGUGAAAUCCCCGGGCUCAACCUGGGAACUGCGUUUGUGACUGCGAGGCUAGAGUUUGACAGAGGGGGGUGGAAUUCCACGUGUAGCAGUGAAAUGCGUAGAGGUGUGGAGGAACACCGAUGGCGAAGGCAGCCCCCUGGGCCAAUACUGACGCUCAUGCACGAAAGCGUGGGGAGCAAACA